rnacentral:sRNA from 1 species
UUUUAGCCCUGAUUGCAGGUGAUAUCCUUUUAAGAGGCAAUUUUUCAUUGCCUCUUAAAAGAUAAAACCGAAAAGCAGGAAAUAGC